UACGUAGGGGGCAAGCGUUGUCCGGAAUCAUUGGGCGUAAAGAGCGCGUAGGCGGCCAGAAAAGUCCGCUGUGAAAACUCGAGGCUCAACUUCGAGCUGGCGGUGGAAACUUUCUGGCUAGAGUCCGGAAGAGGAGAAUGGAAUUCCUGGUGUAGCGGUGAAAUGCGCAGAUAUCAGGAAGAACACCCGUGGCGAAGGCGGUUCUCUGGGACGGUACUGACGCUGAGACGCGAAAGCGUGGGGAGCGAACAGG
rnacentral:rRNA from 1 species